ACCCAGACUCCUACGGGAGGCAGCAGUGAGGAAUAUUGGUCAAUGGGCGCGAGCCUGAACCAGCCAAGUCGCGUGAGGGAAGACGGCCCUACGGGUUGUAAACCUCUUUUGUCGGGGAGCAAAGCGAACCACGUGUGGUUCAUUGAGAGUACCCGAAGAAAAAGCAUCGGCUAACUCCGUGCCAGCAGCCGCGGUAAUACGGAGGAUGCGAGCGUUAUCCGGAUUUAUUGGGUUUAAAGGGUGCGCAGGCGGAGGUGCAAGUCAGUGGUCAAAUUGCGGGGCUCAACCCCGUACUGCCGUUGAAACUGGGGAUCUAGAGUGUGCGAGAGGUAUGCGGAAUGCGUGGUGUAGCGGUGAAAUGCAUAGAUAUCACGCAGAACCCCGAUUGCGAAGGCAGCAUACCGGUGCACAACUGACGCUCAGGCACGAAAGCGUGGGUAUCGAACAGGAUUAGAUACCCCAGUAU
rnacentral:rRNA from 1 species